CUAAGAGCAGUUUUUUUCCAGUACUGGGGAUUGAACUCAGGACCCUGCACUUGCCAGCCCUGGGCCUAAAGUACCUGUCCAGAGACACAUCCCAGUCUUCAAAGUCUAACUGCUCUUCCGCGCAUCCGACCCAGCUCCAUCUGCUGAACGGGCAGCUCUUCUCUCCAGCUCCCGCUGGCAAGGCCGGCCUCCCCGUCAGCGCCCCUCUGACCUGGGGUCAGGCUGCACACAGCCCCAACACAGGAGGCUGAAAGGUUCGGGUCCAGCAUCUGCAGACAGCAAAGGCCGCACAGACAGAAAGCCAGAGGCCUGGAGGACAGCAAGAGCCCUGGACUGCGACUACAGAUUGUUCUUUUGUUAAUAAACUUCCCGGAAAUGAUCCUUUCCUAAGAUACACGUUUAUUAACCUAUGUAAAAGCUGUUGAGGGAAUCUACAAAAACUGUCAAAAUUCUACAUUCAAAAAGGACACCUUAGCCAGACAUGGUGGUGCAGACUUAUAAUCCUGGCAUUCUGGGAGGCUGAGGCAGGAGGUUCACAAGUUCAAACACAGCCUAGGCAACUUAGUAACUUGGUGAGACCUUGUGUCAAAAUUAAAAAAUGAGCUGGGGAUGUACCUUAGGUUCAGUGCUAAAGCCCUGGGUUUAAUCCUAAUGGCAAAAAAGGGACACCUUUUCAAGGUACCUUUUUAGAACACUUAUUAUCCAUCACUACAGUUCAGUGUGUUCUUUUUGUUUUGUGUGAGUUUUACAGAGUGGGGGGUUAGAAACCACAACUCCAUCUUUCUUCUACUCUGUUCCUCCUCCCCCACCCUAUUUCCAGUCAAUAAAUAACUCAGAAGAAAACAUCUGUCAUGAAAUCACUUUAUUUUUCAAACAAGGCUGGGGGGAUACCACUUAAAAUUUAAUAUCCAAAUAAAAUCAUGAAUACUAAAUCCUAUUAAAACAAAACCUAAA